UACGUAGGCAGCGAGCGUUGUUCGGAGUUACUGGGCGUAAAGAGUGCGUAGGCGGUCUUCUAAGUUUGGUGUGAAAUCUCCCGGCUCAACUGGGAGGGUGCGCCGAAAACUGGAAGGCUCGAGUAUGGGAGAGGAGAGCGGAAUUCCUGGUGUAGCGGUGAAAUGCGUAGAUAUCAGGAGGAACACCUGCGGUGCAGACGGCUCUCUGGACCAUCACUGACGCUGAGGCGCGAAAGCGUGGGGAGCAAACAGGAUUAGAUACCCUGGUAGUCCACGCCCUAAACGAUGCAUACUUGGUGUGGGUCAUUCAUUUGAUCCGUGCCGGAGUUAACGCGUUAAGUAUGCCGCCUGGGGAGUACGGUCGCAAGGCUGAAACUCAAAG
rnacentral:rRNA from 1 species